AAAAGCAAGAGAAGGGAGAAGGAAGAAGGGAGAAAGGAGAAGAGCAAGGGAAGAGGAAGAAGAGAGAAUCAAGGGAAGCACGUACCCAUCUAAGGAGUAGAACCAAAAGGUGAUGAGACAACGCGGCGCAAGGCCAUCGGCUGUCCAUCAUCACCUAGGACUCGAGAUUUUUAUUCAGGUAACCAUCCAGAGUAUGUAGCUGAGAAGUUGGCUCUUUACGGAGGUGACCUCUGGGAUGAGAAGUUAGCUAUGCACGAGGAUGGUUGCGUAUGUGACGACUGUGCAUUCAGAGCAUGUUGAAGAUGAGAGUAUCAUCUUCCUUUUGACCAUUUUGUUUUACAUAUCAGAUGUAGCCCUAGAGGCAUAACCGUAAUUAUGACUU